rnacentral:lncRNA from 1 species
ACUGGUUUUCUGAACUGCUCUCCCUCUUUUUCCUUAGGUCCCUUUUACGUGGUGUGUGUGUGUGUGUGUGUGUGUGUGUGUGUGUGUGUGUGUGUGUGUUGUGUAAAUAUAACUUCUGUGGGGGCAUUUGGGGUGUCUGUGUUCUGAAGAUGGGGACUAAGUGGAACUAUUAGACUAAUUUUAUUAUUUCUAUUCCCAGGCUACAAAACAAAAUUGAAAACGGUUUCCUGCUCUUUGUAAAGCAGAAAGUACUGUGUCUGCUGUAUCCAGGCCAGUGCUGAGCAGAGCUGAGCUGCUGUUCAGAAACUCCAUUCCCUACCUGCUGACCCAGAUGCAUCUGUGGACUGCAUAUCACCAGAGACACAGCACUAGCAAUCAGGAAAAGCAACGAGGGAACUUCCCAUUUCUCCAAAGGUGUGUGCAGUAG